AACGAACGCUGGCGGCAUGCCUAACACAUGCAAGUCGAACGAACCCUUCGGGGUUAGUGGCGCACGGGUGCGUAACGCGUGGGAAUCUGCCCUUUGCUUCGGAAUAACUCAGGGAAACUUGUGCUAAUACCGGAUGAUGUCUUCGGACCAAAGAUUUAUCGGCAAGGGAUGAGCCCGCGUAGGAUUAGGUAGUUGGUGGGGUAAAGGCCUACCAAGCCGACGAUCCUUAGCUGGUCUGAGAGGAUGAUCAGCCACACUGGGACUGAGACACGGCCCAGACUCCUACGGGAGGCAGCAGGGGGGAAUAUUGGACAAUGGGCGAAAGCCAGAUCCAGCAAUGCCGCGUGAGUGAUGAAGGCCCUCGGGUCGUAAAGCUCUUUUACCAGGGAUGAUAAUGACAGUACCUGGAGAAGAAGCUCCGGCUAACUCCG
rnacentral:rRNA from 1 species